rnacentral:rRNA from 1 species
CCUACGGGGGGCUGCAGUAGGGAAUAUUGGUCAAUGGGGGCAACCCUGAACCAGCCAUGCCGCGUGUAGGAUGAAGGCGUUAUGCGUUGUAAACUACUUUUGAUUGGGAACAAAUAACAUCUGCGGAUGUAGCUGAGUGUACCAAUAGAAUAAGCCACGGCUAACUACGUGCCAGCAGCCGCGGUAAUACGUAGGUGGCAAGCGUUGUCCGGAUUUAUUGGGUUUAAAGGGUGCGUAGGCGGCUUAAUAAGUCAGUGGUGAAAGCCGGUAGCUUA